GGCCUUUUGAUAAUAAUUUAAGGUUUAACCUGCCCACUGAGUAGUUAAAGGGCCGCGGUAUUUUGACCGUGCUAAGGUAGCAUAAUCAUUAGUUUUUUAAUUGAAAGCUGGAAUGAAUGGUUGAAUGAGAAAAUUACUGUCUUUAUUUUAUUUAGAUGAAUUUUAUUUUUAAGUUAAAAAGCUUAAAUUAAUUUAAAAGACGAGAAGACCCUAUAGAGUUUUAUAAACUUUAUUUUAUGAUUUUUUUAGUAUUAUAAAUUUAUAAAGGAAUUUUUAUUUGAUUGGGGUGAUUGAAAAAUUUGAUUAACUUUUUUUAUAUUUUUACAUGAAUUAAUGAAUAAUUGAUCCAUAAGUAAUGAUUAUAAGAUUAAAUUACCUUAGGGAUAACAGCGUAAUUGUUAUUGAGAGUUCAAAUCGAAAUAAUAGCUUGCGACCUCGAUGUUGGAUUAAAAUUUAUUUUUGGUGCAGAAGCUAAUAAACAGGGUCUGUUCGACCUUUAAAAUUU
rnacentral:rRNA from 1 species